GCAGUGGUAGUUCAGUGGUAGAAAUCUCACCUUGCAUGUGAGGGACUGGGGUUCAAUUUCCUGGACAAUGCU
rnacentral:tRNA from 1 species